AUUGAACGCUUGCGGCAGGCCUAACACAUGCAAGUCGAGCGAGCGGCGGACGGGUGAGUAAUGUAUGGGGACUGCCCGAUAGAGGGGGAUACCUAAUGGAAACGGUGGCUAAUACCGCAUACUAUCGGAUAACCCAUAUGUGAUUAGCUCGUAGGUGGGGUAAAGGCUCACCAAGGCGACGAUCUCUAGCUGGUCUGAGAGGAUGAUUAGCCACACUGGGACUGAGACACGGCCCCGACUCCUACGGAGGCAGAAGGGGUGAAUAUUGCACAAUGGGCGCAAGCCUGAUGCAGCCAUGCCGCUUGUAUGAAGAAGGCCUUAGGGUUGUAAAGUACUUUCAGCGGGGAGGCGUUACCCGGAGAAGAAGCACCGGCUAACGCCGUGCCAGCAGCCGCGGUAAUAC
rnacentral:rRNA from 1 species